rnacentral:rRNA from 1 species
GACGAACGCUGGCGGCGUGCUUAACACAUGCAAGUCGAACGGUGAAGCUCCAGCUUGCUGGAGUGGAUCAGUGGCGAACGGGUGAGUAACACGUGAGCAACCUGCCCCUGACUCUGGAAUAAGCGCUGGAAACGGCGUCUAAUACUGGAUAUGAGAAGGGUCCGCAUGGACACUUUCUGGAAAGUUUUUCGGUUGGGGAUGGGCUCGCGGCCUAUCAGCUUGUUGGUGAGGUAAUGGCUCACCAAGGCGACGACGGGUAGCCGGCCUGAGAGGGCGACCGGCCACACUGGGACUGAGACACGGCCCAGACUCCUACGGGAGGCAGCAGUGGGGAAUAUUGCACAAUGGGCGAAAGCCUGAUGCAGCGACGCCGCGUGAGGGAUGACGGCCUUCGGGUGGUAAACCUCUUUCAGCAGGGAAGAAGCGAAAGUGACGGUACCUGCAGAAGAAGCACCGGCUAACUACGU